rnacentral:rRNA from 1 species
AGGCCUAACACAUGCAAGUCGAGCGGAUGAAGUGAGCUUGCUCAUGGAUUCAGCGGCGGACGGGUGAGUAAUGCCUAGGAAUCUGCCUGGUAGUGGGGGACAACGUUUCGAAAGGAACGCUAAUACCGCAUACGUCCUACGGGAGAAAGCAGGGGACCUUCGGGCCUUGCGCUAUCAGAUGAGCCUAGGUCGGAUUAGCUAGUUGGUGAGGUAAUGGCUCACCAAGGCUACGAUCCGUAACUGGUCUGAGAGGAUGAUCAGUCACACUGGAACUGAGACACGGUCCAG